AGUGUCUCUUCUGCAAGGAGGGGAACUUGUUUUCGUACUAUACAUUAGAUUAUCUAGAUUUGCUUCUGUUGAAAUAAAGGGGGGGGGGGGGAAUUUCCAUU